rnacentral:rRNA from 1 species
GACGAACGCUGGCGGCGUGCUUAACACAUGCAAGUCGAACGAAGUGGCGAACGGGUGAGUACUACGUGGGUAACCUGCCCUCCUUUUUGGGAUAAGCUUUGGAAACGGGGUCUAAUACCGACUAAAGGGGGAUGGGCUCGCGGCCUAUCAGCUUGUUGGUGGGGUAACGGCUCACAAAGGCCACGAUGCAUAGCCGACCUGAGAGGGUGAUCGGCCACACUGGGACUGAGACACGGCCCAGACUCCUACGGGAGGCAGCAGUAGGGAAUCUUGGACAAUGGGCGAAAGCCUGAUCCAGCCAUGCCGCGUGUGUGAAGAAGGGCUUCGGAUUGUAAAGCACUUUUGGUUGGGAAACGUUACCAACAGAAUAAGCACCGGCUAACUUCGUGCCAGCAGCCGCGGUAAUUC